AGUCAACCAGAGAGGAUACAAGAGAGAAGUACAGGAAGACACAUCACCCUUUGGCAGUUACGGAUUCAAGUCUAAGAGCUCCAGCAAGCCUCCUGGGAAAAUGGUGACCUGAGAAUCAUCAGACGCAACACAAGAACUGGAAAUACAACAUUGUAUGUUAAAGUUUAUUUGUCAAAAUUAACUAUGCAUUUUAAAUCAAACUUCCAUAUAGAAAUAAAUCAGAAAACCAAAACAAAGAACUGAUUGUGAAUUAGAAAAAUAAAUUAGAAAAUGUCUCUAGUA